ensembl:lncRNA
UAAACAGUUUGCCUACUGUGAGGUCAGUCAAUGAGUUUCAGAGCAGAGGGGCAGAGAAUGCUUUACUCCAAAGCUUGAAACAACUGUGCUGCUGACGGAGCAGAGUCUAAAGAUAAGAGAGAGAGGGCACAACAUGUGGAAUAAGAACCUCCAGAAGCAGAAGAGGAUAACAACGCAGGUGAAGCAAUUCAUCUGUUAUCUGCAACAUGUGAGCAAAUCCAGGAAUGUACAGAUCACAGGAUUGGAAAGAAACUCUUCAAGGCCAACCCUGCUGCUUUCUUAAUACACCACAAACAAAAACAGACGCACUGGUGACCACCAAGAAUUCUUAGUCCAAGCAGAAUGGCUUCCUGUCUCCACAUGCAAACACCUCUCUGCAGGUUCUCAAAGCCUCAGGAUAAUGUUUACCCAAGCAUCCUUUCUGACAUUUAUCUCAGAGAAACAAAAGCUUAUGUUCCCACAAAAACCCAUACACAAUGCUUAUAGCAGUCGUUGUCUUAAUAAUCAAAAAUGUGAAAACCAGCCAAAGGUCCUUCAAAGGGUGAAUGGUUAAACAUACUCUGAUAAAUCUUCACCAUCCAAUACUACUGAGCAAUAAAAAGGAACAGUUAUUGAUACACAUUGCUAUAGAUUUGUAGGCAAUUGUGAGUGAAAAAAAAUCUCAAAAGUAUGUAUACUGUAUAAUUCUAUUUAUAUAACAUUCUUGAAACGACAAAAUUAUAGAAAUGGAGAACAGAUUAGAGGUUUCCAAGGGUUAAGGAGGAACACUGAAGAGGAAAGUAGUUGUAGUGAUGAGAAGGUACAAAGGUAUUUGUGAGGGAAUAGAUUCGUGUCUUGGAGAAGGCAAUGGUACCCCACUCCAGUACUCUUGCCUGGAAAAUCCCAUGGACGGAGAAGCCUGGUGGGCUGCAGUCCAUGGGGUCGCUAAGAGUCAGACACGACUGAGCAACUUCACUUUCACACAUUGGAGAAGGAAAUGGCAACCCACUCCAGUGUUCUUGCCUGGAGAAUCCCAGGGAUGGGGGAGCCUGGUGGGCUGCCGUCUAUGGGGUCGCACAGAGUCGGACACGACUGAAGCGACUUAGCAGCAGCAGCAGCAGAUUCGUGUCUUGACUGUGGGGGUGGCCACACAAAUCUGCAUAUGCAGUGAAACUGCACAGAACUAUGUGCACACAUAUCACAAACAAAUGCAUGCAAAACUGGUGAAAGUUAGUCAUUGGAUUGUAUCAGUGUCAUUUUCCUGGUUGUGAUACUGUGUUAUUCUUCUACAAAAUGUUCCUCUUGUGGGAAUCCAGGUGAAGGGUAAACAAAAAC